GAUGAACGCUAGCUACAGGCUUAACACAUGCAAGUCGAGGGGCAUCAGGAAGAAAGCUUGCUUUCUUUGCUGGCGACCGGCGCACGGGUGAGUAACACGUAUCCAACCUGCCCUUUACUCGGGGAUAGCCUUUCGAAAGAAAGAUUAAUACCCGAUGGCAUAAUGAUUCCGCAUGGUUUCAUUAUUAAAGGAUUCCGGUAAAGGAUGGGGAUGCGUUCCAUUAGGUUGUUGGUGAGGUAACGGCUCACCAAGCCUUCGAUGGAUAGGGGUUCUGAGAGGAAGGUCCCCCACAUUGGAACUGAGACACGGUCCAAACUCCUACGGGAGGCAGCAGUGAGGAAUAUUGGUCAAUGGGCGCUAGCCUGAACCAGCCAAGUAGCGUGAAGGAUGAAGGCUCUAUGGGUCGUAAACUUCUUUUAUAUAAGAAUAAAGUGCAGUAUGUAUACUGUUUUGUAUGUAUUAUAUGAAUAAGGAUCGGCUAACUCCGUGCCAGCAGCCGCGGUAAUACGGAGGAUCCGAGCGUUAUCCGGAUUUAUUGGGUUUAAAGGGAGCGUAGGUGGACUGGUAAGUCAGUUGUGAAAGUUUGCGGCUCAACCGUAAAAUUGCAGUUGAUACUGUCAGUCUUGAGUACAGUAGAGGUGGGCGGAAUUCGUGGUGUAGCGGUGAAAUGCUUAGAUAUCACGAAGAACUCCGAUUGCGAAGGCAGCUCACUGGACUGCAACUGACACUGAUGCUCGAAAGUGUGGGUAUCAAACCAGG
rnacentral:rRNA from 1 species